GCCUGGGUGGCUCAGUCGGUUGAGCAUCUGACUUCGGCUCAGGUCAUGAUCUCACAGUUUGUGAGUUCAAGCCCCGCGUCGGGCU
rnacentral:tRNA from 1 species